GGAUUAGAUACCCUGGUAGUCCACGCCGUAAACGAUGAUUACUCGAUAUCAGCGAUAUACAGUUGGUGUCUAAGCGAAAGUGAUAAGUAAUCCACCUGGGGAGUACGAUCGCAAGGUUGAAACUCAAAGGAAUUGACGGGGGCCCGCACAAGCGGUGGAGCAUGUGGUUUAAUUCGAUGAUACGCGAGGAACCUUACCAGGGCUUAAAUGCAGAACGACCGGUGUGGAAACAUACCUUUCUUCGGACGGUUUGCAAGGUGCUGCAUGGCUGUCGUCAGCUCGUGCCG
rnacentral:rRNA from 1 species